GUAAUAGUGAAGAAGAGAACAGGAGAGAGAGAAAGCGGUGGAAGAACCCUAAUUGUCGAAGAGAACCAGAAUUCUUAGGAAAGUGCAAUAAGACUGUGGACCGUGAACAGGGAACGUGAAAUCGUGUGAACUGGCAUGAGUUGGCGGCAGCUGCAGUGUGCUUGUGGCUGGAAGUUCAGCAACUAAGACGGACUUGGACAUCUGCAACUAUGAAAAUUCGUUUCCUUUUCCUUUGUUUUCUUAAUUUGUGCAUAUAGACUGUUGGCAUAUACGAUUCAAUUUUGUUUUAGCCUUGCGAGUUGGAUAGUUGACAAGCUACCCUUUUCUAUACUUUCGACUACCACAUGUUCGUUAUAAUGUAACUAUAACCUUUUGUUCGCCUGUCCAGAAUUUUUUCGGCUUAUUUUCAUGUGCAAUCUUCUCUACUAUGUAUUUCCUUGGCCACAUGAAUUUAUGGGUUGAGCAUGUAAAAUUCUACACGCUGCUAUGUUGUGUUUAGUUUGAAAGUUUGGGCUUUCAGUGUUUACGACUCUCGUAUGAAUUAGUUUGAUAAUUCUAGCGCCAACUUCCUUAAUUUGGAACUGUGAUUGGACAACUCUGGAUAGUGUGAGCUCUACAUGAGCUCCUUUGUAAAUAUCGCUCAUGUAUAAUUUUUUUUAUGGAAAC
rnacentral:lncRNA from 1 species